UACGAGGGGGGGCAAGCGUUGUUCGGAAUUAUUGGGCGUAAAGGGCGCGUAGGCGGUGCAGCAAGUUGCUCGUGAAAUCUCCGGGCUUAACUCGGAACGGUCAAGUGAUACUGUCGUGCUAGAGUACAGAAGGGGCAACUGGAAUUCUCGGUGUAGCGGUGAAAUGCGUAGAUAUCGAGAGGAACACCUGCGGCGAAGGCGGGUUGCUGGGCUGAUACUGACGCUGAUGCGCGAAAGCCAGGGGAGCGAACGGG
rnacentral:rRNA from 1 species